rnacentral:misc_RNA from 1 species
UUGAGCAUCGCUGUGCUUCGCUAAUCGUAUAGUGCUUAUUUUUGUCCGAUUUGGGUAAGUGAAAUCUAUGUAUAGCAUGUGUUUCGCUGGUCCAGUCCUUACUUCCUAUGAACUAUUGGCUGUCUUUCGGUAUUUGUAUUUUUUUGUUGUUUCAAAGGCUUCAUAUGUUGAUUUGAAAGUUUAAAUACUGGUAGUUGCCUGGAAGAUUGAAAAUUCAGAAUAUAUUAUAGUAUG